GAUGAACGCUGGCGGCGUGCCUAAUACAUGCGAGUCGAGCGAACGGACGAGAAGCUUGCUUCUCUGAUGUUAGCGGCGGACGGGUGAGUAACACGUGGAUAACCUACCUAUAAGACUGGGAUAACUUCGGGAAACCGUAGCUAAUACCGGAUAAUAUUUUGAACCGCAUGGUUCAAAAGUGAAAGACGGUUUUGCUGUCACUUAUAGAUGGAUCCGCGCUGCAUUAGCUAGUUGGUAAGGUAACGGCUUACCAAGGCAACGAUGCAUAGCCGACCUGAGAGGGUGAUCGGCCACACUGGAACUGAGACACGGUCCAGACUCCUACGGGAGGCAGCAGUAGGGAAUCUUCCGCAAUGGGCGAAAGCCUGACGGAGCAACGCCGCGUGAGUGAUGAAGGUCUUCGGAUCGUAAAACUCUGUUAUUAGGGAAGAACAUAUGUGUAAGUAACUGUGCACAUCUUGACGGUACCUAAUCAGAAAGCCACGGCUAACUACGUG
rnacentral:rRNA from 1 species